rnacentral:rRNA from 1 species
AUUGAACGCUGGCGGCAUGCCUUACACAUGCAAGUCGAACGGUAACAUCUCGUCGGAUGCUGCCGGGUGGCGAACGGGGGAGUAAUACAUCGGAACGUUCCCGAUCGCGGGGGGAAACGAGGCGAAAGCUUUGCUAAUAUCUCAUACGAUCUACGUAUUAAAGCGGGGGUGCUUCGGACUUCGCGCGGACGGUUCGGCGGAUGGAAGCCUAGGUAGGCGGUGGGCUAAAAGCUGACUAAGCGGACGAUCGGUAGCUGGUCUGAGAGGAUGAGCAGCCACACUGUGACUGAGACACGGCCCAGACUCCGACGGGAGGCCGCAGUGGGGAAUCUUGCACAAUGGGCGAAUGCCUGAUCCAGCCCUGCCGCGUGAAGGAUGAAGGACUUCGGGUUGUAAACUGCUUUUGUACGGAACGAAAAGCCUCUUUCUAAUAAGGAGGGGUCAUGACGGUACCGUAAGAAUAAGCACCGGCUAACUCCGUG